rnacentral:rRNA from 1 species
UACAGAGACCUCAAGCGUUAUCCGGAAUCAUUGGGCGUAAAGCGUACCGAUAGGUUGUUUAUUAAGUCUUGGGUAAAAGCCGGAAGCUCAACUUCCGCGUUUGCUUAAGAUACUAAUAGACUAGAGGGGCAAAGGAGGUGCUUGGAACGAACGGUGUAGUAGUGAAAUGCGUUGAUAUCGUUCGGAACACCGAAAGCGAAGGCAGAGCACUGGGUGCCACCUGACACUGCUAGGACGAAAGCGUGGGGAGCGAAUGGG